CCUACGGGAGGCAGCAGUGGGGAAUAUUGGGCAAUGGGCGAAAGCCUGACCCAGCAAUGCCGCGUGAAUGAAGAAGGUCUUAGGAUUGUAAAAUUCUGUCCUAUGGGAAGAAAAAAAUGACGGUACCAUCGGAGGAAGCCCAGGCUAACUACGUGCCAGCAGCCGCGGUAAUACGUCGGGGGCGAGCGUUGUCCGGAUUUAAUGGGCGUAAGGAGCGCGUAGGCGGCACUCCAAGUCUCAGGUGAACUACCCGGGCUUAACGUGGGGGUUGCAGGGGAAACUGUAGAGCUUGAGUACAGGAGAGGCAAGCGGAAGUCGUAGUGUAGCGGUGAAAUGCAUAGAUAUCAGGCGGAACACCAGUGGCGAAGGCGGCUUGCUAGGCUGAAACUGACGCUGAUGAUCGAAAGCGUGGGGAGCAAACAGGAUUAGAUACCCCAGUAGUC
rnacentral:rRNA from 1 species